rnacentral:lncRNA from 1 species
AUUUUAUCACUCUUCUAUUCUGAAGCAUGGAUUAAUUGUGCAAGAUCAGGGUGGGAGAAAAAUCAUGACAGAUGAUACAGCCCUGUGCUCCAACUAUUGGCAAGAACAAUGUUUGGGGCCUUGGCGGAACUGGGCCAUAUGAACUCACAUCCAUACACCACUGGGCUAAAGUUCUUCAUAAGAGGAAUGGAUGAGAAGAUGGAGACAGAGCUGCAUGGGAAACAAAGGAGACUUGAAAUGGAAAUUAUUUAGAUUCCACACUUCAAGGCCAGACUUCUGACAAUAAUCCAAAAUCCAUUCAACAUGAAUUUACUGAGCAUCUACUGUGUGCUAGGUGCUGGGAUCUAAAAGAAACACAAGGCAAAGUCCAGGUAACUCAAGUAGAUUCAAGGGCAAAAGUUAAAUU